GACGAACGCUGGCGGCGUGCUUAACACAUGCAAGUCGAACGGAAAGGCCCUGCUUUUGUGGGGUGCUCGAGUGGCGAACGGGUGAGUAACACGUGAGUAACCUGCCCUUGACUUUGGGAUAACUUCAGGAAACUGGGGCUAAUACCGGAUAGGAACUCCUGCUGCAUGGUGGGGGUUGGAAAGUUUCGGCGGUUGGGGAUGGACUCGCGGCUUAUCAGCGUGUUGGUGGGGUAGUGGCUUACCAAGGCUUUGACGGGUAGCCGGCCUGAGAGGGUGACCGGCCACAUUGGGACUGAGAUACGGCCCAGACUGCUACGGGAGGCAGCAGUGGGGAAUAUUGCACAAUGGGCGGAAGCAUGAUGCAGCAACGCCGCGUGCGGGAUGACGGCCUUCGGGUUGUAAACCGCUUUCGCCUGUGACGAAGCGUGAGUGACGGUAAUGGGUAAAGAAGCACCGGCUAACUACGU
rnacentral:rRNA from 1 species